ACUGUUGACUGUGCCACGUUGAAUACAUCAGUUCUCAUCCAAUCACUACUGUUAAACAACGUUGGGCGUGUUCAGUACUCGGAUGGCUGACCGUCUGGGAGAUCACGUGUUGUUGAUU
rnacentral:rRNA from 1 species